UGGUGUUCUCCACUAUGGAUAA
rnacentral:siRNA from 1 species